rnacentral:snRNA from 1 species
AUCGCUUCUCGGCCUUUUGGCUAAGAUCAAGUGUAGUAUCUGUUCUUAUCAGUUUAAUAUCUGAUACGUCCUCUAUCCGAGGACAAUAUAUUAAAUGGAUUUUUGGAGCUGGGAGUCGGAAUAGGAGCUUGCUCCGUCCGCUCCGCGCAUCGACCUGGUAUUGCAGUAUCUCCAGGAACGGUGCACUUUCC